GCAACUUCCCACAUACAGUAGCGCAAAAGUUGGCAUAUCGGAAUCCAGGCCCGAACAACAGACUAAUUACCUGUUUAUACUGGCGAUUAUAUACAAGUUCUCUACCAAGUGUUGUCUUCAUGCGACAUGCGAACACGGCUAUAAUCUUAUCAUUGAGCUGCAAGUUGAAUUGGACAAUCUAAAAUGUUGGUGGAAAACUUGCAUUCGCUUAACCCAGGAAGCGCAGAUGGGUCCGGCCAUACCAAUUUUGGCUUUAUGGCUUCCAUACAAUUCAUUAAGUUUUUCUAUGAAAAGGGAACUUGAUGUAUAAGUGAACUGAAGGGUUCUAAGUAUGUUAAAAAAACAUAAAAUUUUGAACUAUUUUCGAUAUUAUAUUCUAAUGAAAAGAAUACCUACGGAUUUGAACGGACAUGGUCUGGCUGGACCACAAUAUAUAUUUUGCAAAUUCUGGCCUGCCAAUGUCGGAUUUUUUCUAUUAACGCCAUCUGUCGAAAGCAAAUGCAUUGCUAUGAUAUGCCAUCAUCAACGCAACGACAGCAAAAACGCAAGGGCUGUUAGAGAUUUCUAUGCGGAGACAAACACGAUGCUACAAACUUUUAGACAGCAACAUGGCAUACCUGCAAUACAUCAGUCAUCAAUGUAAAUUUUAAAGAAAUUUGAGAUAAGAAAAAACCGAAAGAAAUUUCAUUGUCUAUUAUAUGAUGGCGUCAAACGAACAUUUGAACAAAUGGGUGAAGGCAUCAUAACUAUUUUGUAAUUAAGGACUUAUAACCAGUUUGUAAUGAAGGAUUUUUAUGGUACUGCAAUUAGCCGUUAAAAAGUAAUUACAGAUUUUUGCGGUAUUUUUGUUACUAUAUUAUGGUUCAUAUUGAUGCAGAUUGUGUGCGAGUGUUUCAUCUAUUGCAACUAGCCAUCUAUUUGAAAAAUUGUAGUAGGUUUUUAGGUACGUAAUUAUAUUUUUAAACAUGCUCAAACUUGGACCGUUGAAAUAAAUUUAUUUAAAAUAAAAAAUGUAA